UGGUGGUCUUGCGGGGUAAACUAGCACCACAACUCCAAAGACAAGGAACAGCUCUGCUCUGUGAUACCAGUUGCAAAGGAUACUGGGAAAUAGUACAAGUCAGGUUCUCUUCUGCAUGGUAAAGACUUGCCACUGUUUUGCCAGGUAUGUUAGCGAGAUCAUCUGCUCCUAGCAGAGCAGUUCCUCUGUCUGAUCUUGGGCAUGCACAGUGUUCUAAUUAAUGUCCACUCUUAGACACUGUCUUGCUGAAGCAGUUAUCUCCAUUGUUCUCCAAAGUGCCACCUGCCACUUGCUGGUGUUCCAGGACCUCUGCAUCCCAAGAGAACUCUUGCUUUGUGUCUGCACUAUAUUUAGUAUAUGUGCUGACGAAGCGAGCAGGAAAAUUACUUUCUAAAACAUUUGUAGGAUGUAUUAAGGAUGUAUUAAGGAUGUAUUAAUGACAAAUCAGAAUGCCGCUCCAUCAAAGGUAUGUUUUCCUUCACUUCAGAUAAUUUAAUGUGUCUGUGAUCUCUGAUUUCUCAGCUGAAGUAUCUUGAGCAGAGAUAACUCCUGCUUUUUACAAACUGGUCUCAAUAAAUAUAAGAAUUUGCAGUCA
rnacentral:lncRNA from 1 species